UCCGAGGAACUGACAGAGGCGCUGGCGGAGAAACUGGUUCGCCAUUAACUUCAACCUAACCGUAGGCGAAUUCGUAAAAUCGAGAGACUGGAUCUGGACAGAUUUUCCAGUGCUCACGAAAACGCGUUGGAUGCGUUUUGGGAGCCCGGAGAAAACGCGAGGAUUUUUCUGGCUUUUCUGAAGACGUUUUCAAGUAUCUUCUCUUGGCGGACAAAUGUUACUGAUGUAACGCGUUAAAUAAAUAAACCAGUUGUGUAGGCCUAUUUGGCUAUUUUUGCCGAAAACAGUUUCUUAAGAAUAUACUAGUGAGAGAGCUGCUGCAAAACGAUAUGAUGCUGCAACCAACCCCUUAUCAUCACACGAGUUCAGCAUAGUACUGUGUAUGCCACGACGAGUGCCCAUCAACACACCGCGUCCGCAGGCUGCAGUUAAAGAAGGAAAAGGCUCCGACGGAAUUGCGAAUUCUUCUGAUGGAAAAGUGAAUAAAAUUUCUUCACUUGGGCGCCCGGGGAUUUUAUUGUCCCUCUUUGAUUUUUGCCUAUUCACAUUUUGCCUCGUUUUAUUGACUGUAAAAGACGGGAUCAUUUCCUCCAGUGCAUUGACUGUGCGUUGACUGGUGUACCCCGAACGCCCUCUUUGCACAAUUACGGAAGGGAUUUUUCGUGUUUUUCUUCGCCGGGGUUUUCUUUUGUAAAUAAGUCGCUGCAUGGGAGCAGAAUGGAAGACUGGUUUUCCCUCUGAAGACCGCUGGCUCUGCUCCCCGGCUGUUUGAAUUUCUCGCCAGAAUGCAGCUUCUCAGAGUUGCGUGGGCUUUAGCUGGAGCGGCAGUUUGCUGUUUUGUCAUUCUUUUGAUCCACUCACGCUUCUUGAAAGAAGGUCAGCUAGCGGCUGGCACCUGUGAGAUUGUCACCUUUGACAAAGACAGUCUGCCACGGAGGACCAUCGCAAGGCAGACCGCAAGGUGUGCCUGCAAGAAAGGGCAGAUCGCCGGGACCACGAGAGCCAGGCCGGCAUGUGUGGACGCCCGUAUUGUCAGGACCAAACAAUGGUGUGAGAUGAUUCCCUGUCUGGAGGACGAAGGCUGCGACCUGCUAGUAAAUAAAUCAGGCUGGACUUGUACACAACCAGGCGGCAGAGUCAAAACCACCACGGCUCUAUGACGUGAUGGGAGUCCCACUCAAAUCUCACCUCCUCUCUCAAAAUAUGGCGGAUCACAUGGCUGAACCUGACAGACAGCCAUUCUCAGCCACUGCUCAACAACUGACUUUUACAAAAGCAACAAACUGCAAACCAUGAUGGGCCUUAACAACUACAUAAGGUCUCUUAACAGCGGCAGUGCCCGAGGCUCCUGAAGUUGGGGAAGCUCAGACUGGACUCUGUCACGCUGCUUCCCCUGUCCACACACACCGACCCCGCUGUAGAUAAUCUGCUGUCAUCAGCUUAACACGCUUGUCCGUCUUCCUGUUUGUCUGUAUGCUUUGUAAAUGGGCCACACCCCCUAGUGCCACGGAGGACUCCAGUCUCAUGUAAAGCACUCGGGGUGGUCGGUCUGCUGGACUACGAUGCAUAGUGAUCAGAACCGAUCCGAUAACGGCAAGUCCCCCAUGAACUGAAUCUGCUGGACUAUGAAUAAUCUGAGACGCUGAACUCUCUCCAGAAGACAACAGCUCUCAGUCUGGAGUGGACCUGUGCUUAUGAACCAACUAAAGACUGUGGACCUGGCUAACUGCUUGUGCUGUGACUGGCCUUCUGCUGGAGUACACCUUUGGCACUCUUGACUUUUUUUAUUGACCAAAGAGGGAAUCAAGUGUUCUGGACAAGAGGGGCCAAAUAGAGAGUGAAAUAUCCAAUGGCAACCUUUCCCCAACAAAUGUCUGCCCUCACGUAACAGUAAAUCCAGAGGGCGGCUGACCUGUGCUAUAUGAUUUCACAGGACAAGUGAACACAAUCAAAGGAGUACCUUUAAUACUUUGUUGACAUUUUUCUUGGACUUAACCCAACACUGUAUUUUGAAGCUGGAGUUGUAGAGACAGUAUACAUAUAUAUGUAUAUGUGUAUAAAAAUCAGACUUGCAUUUUUCGGUAGCAACAUCCAGAACAAUUUGCAAUAAGCAUGGUUGGUUACUGUAAAAGAGAAAAACCACUGAUCAUCCGACAAAAACAGAAUAUUCAAUAGUCAUUUCUGAUUGCCAGAUGAUUGCCAGAAAAAAGGUCAUUAAAUGUAUUUUGAAAGACCGAAAGUUAUAUAUUUAACAGUUUUAUAUGUUGUACCUUUGUAGAGAACCUUAUUUAACAUGAAUAAUGUGGUCAAAUGCCAGUCAUAGAACGUCAGUGAGCUUUGCUCCAUAAUGCUGGUCUGUUCUGCUCUUUCUUUUCCCCACACCGGUAGCAGUUCUCUUUUUAUACCCAUUGCAGAACUCAGCCAUCUGUCCAUAUACAUCAAAAAGAGGGAAAAGGACAAAAUGUGAAAAAUGAGUGAUCAUGGUGAACUGAACUUUAUACCCCACUUUAGUAUCUGGAGUAAUGGAAAUCGCUAUUUGCUAUUGUAUUGUAAAGGUGUGGACAUUUGACUCAUUUCUUUAUGGAUUUUACCUAAUUUAUUUUUGUGCUUGUGAUUGUUGCACAGUGCCGACCUCUAAGUGAUGACACUUGAAGGAAGAAUUAAGAAAGUCUUAGAAUCAUUUACAUGAGAUACUUUUUUAUUAUGAGAUAUUUUAAGAAUAAAUCGAUUGCGUGAAAGAAA